UGCUCUGAUUUUUCUCCACCAAGUUGUGCAACAGCAGCAGCUCCCUCCGUUCUCUUCCUCCUCUAAUUUUCUUGACCACCGCAACCACCUCUAAUUUUCUUGACCACCGCAACCACCAGGGCUGCUUCUCCACUCGAUCCCCCUCCCUUGAUUUCUCUACCGCAAGAACAAGCAGGCAUCAACUUCUCUCCCUUUGCUUGCUUCUCCAGUCGACACUACCCAACAACAGCUUGCUGCAUCUUCUUCUCUAGUGAUCCAGAGAGCAGCUCAUGCUCCAUUAACUUUCUUGCCCGUUUCUUUUUCCCAAAAACUUGAGCAGACGAGCAAGCAGUCCAUGGCCACCGAGCGAAGCACCAGGGCUCUCCCUCUCGAUUUCCAAUUUCUGUCUCUCCACCGAGCAAGCAUCCAGCACUAGCUUAGUUCUCUCGUGCACACCACCGUAUCCCUGCUCCCUCCCUCGCCGAAGCUAGUAGCUCAAGCAAGCCACUUCGGUUUCCACAGCAAGCAUGGGCUCCACUCCAAACAUCAUGCGCCAGCUCUUUUUUCUUCUUGGCCUCACCUGCCCGUCGCUCAGGACCACGACGACGGCCACAGCGAGUGCCGACGCUGCCGACAACCCCCAGCCCAAGGAGGCAACGAGCCGGAGCUGCGCCGACGCCGCUGCAACGGCGGCCACACCGAGCCAGAGCAGCCACGAGGAGUUAGCGCUGGGGAACCGCCGUCGAGAGCUACGUCGCACGCCAACGGCCGCGACGAGCGGAACCGCGAGCUCAAGCACCACCGUGCCGCAUCAAGCCCGGCCACGCCUACACCGUCGACCCACGAGGAAGAUCCAGACUUUGUUUCCAUGGACGUUGAGUAGGGGUUCCGUUCUGCACCCAACCUUGCCUGUGGAUAGGGUCACCCGCAGGAGCUCCGUAUGACACAAGACUCUGAUGACUUCUUCGUGCUUCACGUUCUUGUUUGGGUUGUAGUUGUUGUCCUCGCGAUAGUGGCGCUUCAUUGCCCAUUACCGCGUAGAGUUGUACGGUGAUGUACCAUCUGAUGUAAAAAAUGUAUUAUCAGCCUCCUGGGACUGAUAUUGUAUCACAUUUAAGUCUUCUCUUAUGAGGGGACGCUUCACAUACUCUCUGGUAGAUUGAAAAUAUUGAAAUAAUCCUCACAUUUAUCUUUCCAAAUA